UCUCGGCUGGGACGACACGGUGCGGUUCGCGCGCCGCGUCGGCGUGCCGACGCCGCCGGUGUUGUGGCGCGGCACGUUCGACGAGCGCGCCGUGCGC
rnacentral:tRNA from 1 species